GGCGGCAUAGCCAAGUGGCAAGGCAACUGUCUGCAAAACAGUUAUACAGCGGUUCGAAUCCGCUUGCCGCCUCCA
rnacentral:tRNA from 1 species